GACGAACGCUGGCGGCGUGCCUAAUACAUGCAAGUCGAGCGGAAUGAAGAAGAAGCUUGCUUCUUCUGAUUUUAGCGGCGGACGGGUGAGUAACACGUGGGCAACCUACCUUGUAGAUUGGGAUAACUCCGGGAAACCGGGGCUAAUACCGAAUAAUCCAUUUUGCUUCAUGGCGAGAUGUUAAAAGGCGGCUUCGGCUGUCACUACGAGAUGGGCCCGCGGCGCAUUAGCUAGUUGGUAGGGUAAUGGCCUACCAAGGCGACGAUGCGUAGCCGACCUGAGAGGGUGAUCGGCCACACUGGGACUGAGACACGGCCCAGACUCCUACGGGAGGCAGCAGUAGGGAAUCUUCCACAAUGGACGAAAGUCUGAUGGAGCAACGCCGCGUGAGUGAAGAAGGUUUUCGGAUCGUAAAACUCUGUUGUAAGGGAAGAACACGUACGAGAGUAACUGCUCGUACCUUGACGGUACCUUAUUAGAAAGCCACGGCUAACUACGUG
rnacentral:rRNA from 1 species